UGUUCCUCUUUUUUGUUUCUGAACUCGCCUUUGGGCUUUUUUAAUAAAUGUUGCAGGGGUGUAAACCCCUCCAGAGCCUUCAAAAAAAACAUAUGACGCGGAGCUGCAUUUUCCUUGAAUAUUCGAGAGACAGCAGGCUCAGGAUGUUCUUGGCAACCAGACGUUUGGGAGCUUCGACAUGGAGGGCAUGAGCAUGAUCUACAUAGCCGUUGGGAAGGACUACAAGUCCGACAAGCGAAAAUUGCUAUUUGUUCUACAACAGUUUCCAGGCCCAAUUGGCAUCCUCCAUGUCCACUCGCCGUCCAAGCUGAUACCCAUCUUGGGUGCUCGAGUACCAGAGAAGUUUGCAAGAGAGGAUGUAAAGGAACAGCACAUGAGGAGAGAGAAAGAAAAGAUGCUGAAGUUAUUAAGAAGUUAUGUGAUGCUGUGCUCUGAACGAGAGGUCAAGGUACAAUAUAUAACUAAUGAGGACACCCUCCUUGCCCUUCAGCAGCUGGUUUUGAUGAAUCAAGUUAGAAAAUUAGUCAUGGCUUCAAGCCAUUGAAAAGGCUACCAACCAUAAAGACUCCCCAUACGCAGGUCCAUGUCAAAAGAGAAUGCACUCCUUCAGUUCUGCCAGAUAUUGCUUGUCCGAAACGGUAGACAUGAGUGGACCAGCCCUGCAACACCACAGUGGACACCAGAGCAUCUUACAGGAGAAUCUGAAGCAGCCACAGCACCAUGGGGUCAACGGGUGUGAUGUAGACAGAAGUAGUGAGCUACAUGAGGACGAAACAACAGACGAAAGCGUUCCAACAACUACGGGAGACAUAACAAGUGAAGGCUCCAGAGAUAACAACCGGUUGCAGAUGGAAAAGGUGCUCAGGCCCGACCAAGACAAAUGGGAAAUUUUACCUGGGGAAACUUCUAACAGAUCUUACCACCACGGAUGUUUUGAAGGGCCAAAUACAUCAGAAAAUCUGCUUCAUUAUCACAUCGUCCACGAGAAGAGCCAAAUAGAGUUAUUAACAGUACUAUUUUUUUUUACGCAAAAGACUUAUCAAUGGUACUAUUACACACAUAUUGCUGCGGUACUCUCAAAUGACUGUGGACCGUUCAUUUAUUUCAAUCA